UCACGUGCCGUGACGACUUGGAGUGGCCA
rnacentral:piRNA from 1 species